rnacentral:lncRNA from 1 species
GUUGGAGUAAACCAUGUUAGGUGACGUUUAAUACGGUACUAGCUAGUCAGGUCACUCGGUUAGUUAGUGCAUGGAUGAGUCGGUGUAGUUUGCCUGGAAUGAGUCCAAGCCGGUGGCUCUUGGCGUGUGUUGGUGGCGCAUGGAUAGGAAUGGAUAGCAUCAUGCAUGGAGUUAGUUGGAGUAGUGGCUGGAUGUGCUGGCCGGUUAGUGCGUGCGUGAUGGCCAGACGUGAUGGCUGGCUGUGUGCCCUCCUGUGUAUAUAUGUGUCACAUUGAGCAAUGAAAAGGGGCCGUGAGGGCUGGAGAAACAAUGUAGCCACUGUGUGAUCACCAAGGGAGUCUCUUGGCAAAGCUUGUGAGUUCUUCCUUGGUGCAUGUGUGCGUGGGUGUGUGUGGAGUUUCUCCUUGUGUGAGGCAAGAGGUAGAAGAAGGGCGCUGCGGCGAGGAGGUGGCGCCAACAAUUGGUAUCAGAGCCACAAGGUUCGAGGGGCGGCCGUAGCGCGUGGCGGAGGCGGCGGGCGGUGACGUCGUACGUGCGGCGACCGCGGAGGCCGCCGAGGCGCUGCGUCAUGGCGCGGCGGCGCAACACGGUGUGGCGGCGUGGAGGCAGUGCAUGGCGGCAUGGAGGCCGCGGCGGUGCAGGGCAAUAAGACGCGGCGGCGAGCCGGGCGCGACCGGUGCAUGUUAUGGGUGCGCACUGGACGUGUCGGGCGCGUCGGGACCGCGGGAAUGGACCGCGUCGAGGCGCUGGACCUGGUUGCGCAGAUCGUGUACGUGCGCGGCGGGAGCGCGGGGACGUGGGGAGUGCGCGCGAAGGGCACGGCGGUCGCGGAGACGAGGAGGUCGCGAAGGACCUGCGUGGUGGCGCAGAGGUCGCGACGGCUCGGGGCGACAACCGUGGAAGGUGCGUGGCACGGAGGCGUGGCGUGACGGCUGCCAGGGCGGACGCGGAGGCGGCACGCGGUGAGCGUCUUGUGCUGUCGGGCUCGUCGGGCGCGCCGGAUGCGCGCGGGACGUGCGGGACGCACUGGUGCGGUCGGGCUCGUCGGGCACGUCGGAUGCGUGCGGGACGUGCGGGACGCAAAGGGACGCCAGGCGUGUGUCGCCGGCGGAGAUGGAGCUCGGCGAGUGCGCCAGGUCGGGUCCGUGGCGGUGCGACCGGCGUCGAUGCGCCGGGUCGGAUCCGCGGGCUGGGUCACGGCCAUGACGACGACAAUGACAGGAGCUGCAACAACUCCGGUAACGGCGAGAUCAUGGUUUAGGGGGAGUGUGUUGGAGUAAACCAUGUUAGGUGACGUUUAAUACGGUACUAGCUAGUCAGGUCACUCGGUUAGUUAGUGCAUGGAUGAGUCGGUGUAGUUUGCCUGGAAUGAGUCCAAGCCGGUGGCUCUUGGCGUGUGUUGGUGGCGCAUGGAUAGGAAUGGAUAGCAUCAUGCAUGGAGUUAGUUGGAGUAGUGGCUGGAUGUGCUGGCCGGUUAGUGCGUGCGUGAUGGCCAGACGUGAUGGCUGGCUGUGUGCCCUCCUGUGUAUAUAUGUGUCACAUUGAGCAAUGAAAAGGGGCCGUGAGGGCUGGAGAAACAAUGUAGCCACUGUGUGAUCACCAAGGGAGUCUCUUGGCAAAGCUU